rnacentral:rRNA from 1 species
AUUGAACGCUGGCGGAAUGCUUUGCACAUGCAAGUCGAACGGCAGCACGGGGGCAACCCUGGUGGCGAGUGGCGAACGGGUGAGUAAUACAUCGGAACGUGCCCAGUCGUGGGGGAUAACGUAGCGAAAGUUACGCUAAUACCGCAUACGAUCUACGGAUGAAAGCGGGGGACCGUAAGGCCUCGCGCGAUUGGAGCGGCCGAUGUCAGAUGAGGUAGUUGGUGAGGUAAAGGCUGACCAAGCCGACGAUCUGUAGCUGGUCUGAGAGGACGUACAGCCACACUGGGACUGAGACACGGCCCAGACUCCUACGGGAGGCAGCAGUGGGGAAUUUUGGACAAUGGGCGCAAGCCUGAUCCAGCCAUUCCGCGUGCAGGACGAAGGCCUUCGGGUUGUAAACUGCUUUUGUACGGAACGAAAAGGCUCUGGUUAAUAACUGGGGCUCAUGACGGUACCGUAAGAAUAAGCACCGGCUAACUACGUGCCAGCCGCCGCAGUAA